AUACGUAGGUGGCAAGCGUUGUCCGGAUUUACUGGGUGUAAAGGGCGCGUAGGCGGGAUCGCAAGUCAGAUGUGAAAUGUCGGGGCUUAACCCUGGAACUGCAUUUGAAACUGUGAUUCUUGAGUAUCGGAGAGGCAGGCGGAAUUCCUAGUGUAGCGGUGAAAUGCGUAGAUAUUAGGAGGAACACCAGUGGCGAAGGCGGCCUGCUGGACGACAACUGACGCUGAGGCGCGAAAGCGUGGGGAGC
rnacentral:rRNA from 1 species